UACGAGCUAACCUGAAGCUAACCCAAAAAAAAUAAUAAUAAAAAAAAAAAAAAAAACCUGAAGCUAACCCUGGCUAACCCAAAGCUAAAGCGGAGGUGGGAGCCGAGCUAACGGAUGUAGCCACCUAGCUUCAACCCAACCGGAGCUAACUGGAACACCCAUCGACCUGAACCUCACACGGAGUUUAGGUGGAGGUUUUCUGCGCCUGUUCGUGAGAAGUACCUGUAUUAAAAAAGAUUUAAAUCGAUCUGUUUAAAUGUCACCAUGGCAGCCUGUGUGUCUCCAACAUCAGCUACACAAAGCAGCUAGUCCAUUUGGAUCAUUGGAGACAGCUAUGUGAGGCGUGGUGCCCAGAGAGCUGCAGAGACAACCUUGGCCUCCCUGACGUCUGUGUCUCCUGGUUCGGUUGGGGCGGACCAUCGACAUACAUACAUGUGCCGACACUUUGCGCCCUGUUUUAUAAAAUUUAGUGUUAAAAAUAAAUGUUUUUGCUCAA